CGCUCUUUGCUUAUAUUGAGGCUUGUAUGAUGGUUUGACAAGAAUAGAUCUGUCUCUUUAUAAUUAACUAAAAUUUUAUUUAUAGGUGAAGAAGCCUAUAUUAAAUUGAAAGACAAGAAGACCCUAUCGAGCUUUAAAGUAAUUAAUAAAACUAAAAUCAUAUACAUAUUGAAUUAGUUAUUAAAAAUUUUAGUUGGGGCGACUAAGGAACAAACAAAGCUUCCUUGAAAUUUUAAUACUUGCAGGUUGUGAUCCAAAUACUUUGAUUAAAGAAAUUAGUUACCGUAGGGAUAACAGCAUUAUCUUUUUUAAGAGCUCAAAUCGAAAAAAAGCUUUGUGACCUCGAUGUUGGACCAGAAUGUCCUAAAGAUGUAGCCGUCUAACGGGGCC
rnacentral:rRNA from 1 species